UGGGGAAUAUUGGACAAUGGGCGAAAGCCUGAUCCAGCCAUGCCGCGUGUGUGAAGAAGGUCUUCGGAUUGUAAAGCACUUUAAGUUGGGAGGAAGGGCAUUAACCUAAUACGUUAGUGUUUUGACGUUACCGACAGAAUAAGCACCGGCUAACUCUGUGCCAGCAGCCGCGGUAAUACAGAGGGUGCAAGCGUUAAUCGGAAUUACUGGGCGUAAAGCGCGCGUAGGUGGUUUGUUAAGUUGGAUGUGAAAUCCCCGGGCUCAACGUGGGAACUGCAUUCAAAACUGACUGACUAGAGUAUGGUAGAGGGUGGUGGAAUUUCCUGUGUAGCGGUGAAAUGCGUAGAUAUAGGAAGGAACACCAGUGGCGAAGGCGACCACCUGGACUAAUACUGACACUGAGGUGCGAAAGCGUGGGGAGCAAACA
rnacentral:rRNA from 1 species